rnacentral:rRNA from 1 species
CCUACGGGUGGCAGCAGUGAGGAAUAUUGGUCAAUGGCCGGAAGGCUGAACCAGCCAUGCCGCGUGAAGGUCAGUGCCCUAUGGGCGUUAAACUUCUUUUGUGCGGGAGCAAUAAUGGUCACGUGUGGCCAGACGAGAGUACCGUACGAAUAAGCAUCGGCUAACUCCGUGCCAGCAGCCGCGGUAAUACGGGGGAUGCAAGCGUUAUCCGGAUUUAUUGGGUUUAAAGGGUGCGUAGGCUGUGAGGUAAGUCAGCGGUGAAAUGCCCCCGCGCAACGGGGUGAAGUGCCAUUGAUACUGCCUGGCUGGAAUGCGGAUGCCGUGGGAGGAAUGUGUGGUGUAGCGGUGAAAUGCAUAGAUAUCACACAGAACACCGAUUGCGAAGGCAUCUCACGAAUCCGCGAUUGACGCUGAUGCACGAAAGCGUGGGUAUCAAACAGGAUUAGAGACCCUAGUAGUC